CCUACGGGAGGCAGCAGUCGAGAAUCAUUCACAAUGGGGGAAACCCUGAUGGUGCGACGCCGCGUGGGGGAAUGAAGGUCUUCGGAUUGUAAACCCCUGUCAUGUGGGAGCAAAUUAAAAAGAUAGUACCACAAGAGGAAGAGACGGCUAACUCUGUGCCAGCAGCCGCGGUAAUACAGAGGUCUCAAGCGUUGUUCGGAAUCACUGGGCGUAAAGCGUGCGUAGGCUGUUUCGUAAGUCGUGUGUGAAAGGCGCGGACUCAACCCGCGGACGACACAUGAUACUGCGAGACUAGAGUAAUGGAGGGGGAACCGGAAUUCUCGGUGUAGCAGUGAAAUGCGUAGAUAUCGAGAGGAACACUCGUGGCGAAGGCGGGUUCCUGGACAUUAACUGACGCUGAGGCACGAAGGCCAGGGGAGCGAAAGGGAUUAGAUACCCUAGUAGUC
rnacentral:rRNA from 1 species